UGGAUACAGAUACAGUACUCAAAUAAUUUGGACGAUAUAAUUUCGAUUGUACUCAUUAAGCUGUGUUCACAAAAACAAAAUAUGCUCACGCACGAACAAUUUGCAACAUGUUCGGAUCGAUGAAUAGCUUAAGGAACAAAGACCGGAUACGAAAGUUACGCAACACAAUGUUUAUCCAACCAAUUAUCUAUGCUAGAACCUGGAGUGAACAUUUCACUUUUAUUCGAAUUGAUGCACGAAUCACACUACCGUGAUGAGGAACACUACCACCUGUUACGUAUACUUGUCUAACAUGUUGUAUUAACAAUUAUAUAUUCUUAUAUAUUUAAUAAGUUGAUGUUAUAAUUCUUAAUACACUAUCGAAAAGCAAUUUCGUGUCAAUAAAAAUGAAAGAAAAUUUAGAAAUUAUUAAAUUCAAGAUACUUUUAAAAAAUACUUUUAUUCAUGUUAAAUUUAAGGAAUAUAAUUAAAAUUAAAAUUAAUGAUAAUUGAUAAUUCCUGAUAAUACAAUAUAUAGAUUGCAAUCAAUCAUUCUCAUGGAAAAUAAUAUUAUUAGCCCAGCAAAAAAUAUUUCUUCUCGAAGAUAGUUAACAAGUGUUAUUACAGAGACAUACAUUCGGACGUAGAGUGACUCCUUGAAUGUGUGGCUGCCAAGUGCCUCUCGCUCUCGUUUUCUCCGCUUCAAGACUUUCGCCAGUUACCGAUUAGAAAUCUUAUGUUUAUUUUUGACGGGUUAAUAAUAGUAUUUUUUAAUCAUGUUACAGCGAAAAGGAAAAAAUUACUAAUACAACCAACACAAAAAAGUUGGAAUAAAACAAUUAACAAAUAAAAGAAGAAUAAAAAGUCAAGAUUGAUCAGAUAAGGAAAGAUCAAGUUAAGACAAAGCUGGAUGAAGCGACAUUAAGGAAGGUCUCAAAUCUAUCCGGAUGGACGGAUAAGGCAAGGACUGAGACCCGUUCUCUCUUCCAGAUUGAAUCAGGAAGCGAAUCGCGUGAUGCUUUGAAAGCAAGCAUUGAUGUAGAAGAUAUCGAUUGAUUCCUUGAACUGUUUUAAAAUUCCUUCGCAACAAUAUCUACUGAAGUUAAUUUGUCACGGUAGUCUGAAAAUCUAGCUCGUCAGUCGAAACAACGAAUCAAGGCCGGCCAGAAACACGUAUCAAGUUGCCAACUGUAUUAAUCCUCUAAUCGAACGUAUUCUAAGGUCGUUUAAUGGCACAUAUCUAUUAAUUUAAUUGCACGUAGUUUAUCUUCUCCCCUGGAGACAUAACAAUUAAUUAUCUCCACGUGAAAUAAGUUCUUUAUGAGAAUUGAGAAUUAUGGAGAAAUUGAGAGAGUGAAUUAUAUCAGAAGAAUAAACCAAUGUAUUACAAGAAA
rnacentral:lncRNA from 1 species